rnacentral:lncRNA from 1 species
UGCAACGUUCCGACUUUGAAGAGUUGCAUCCCUUCUGACUUGUACGAUCUUUGGGCUCAUAUAAAUCUAAGAAACUUCAGAAGCCGAGAAAUAACUUGCUUUUUAUUCCGACUUUCUAUUUUAUACUUUUCGUUUCUCAAACUUUCUUUUUGCAUUUCAUCUUUUUAGGUUAAAGAUGAUUAAGAAUUACAAUCUUACAUCAUCUUUGUGUUGGAUAUUGUAUCCUAGGGAUAGGAUUUUUAGGAAUCAUUUUGCACCUAUAAGAAGAUAAAUCACUAUCUUUAAGGCAGCUUCCUGAAAGUGUCUUACUCAACUAAUUUCUUUUCCUUCAUUGCACUCCUUUUUAUAUCUUCGACUGAGCACAAGAAGAUAUACCCAUGGCAGGCAAGAAGUUUGAUCAACAUGAGCAAAAAAAAAGAGAGAAAAAUACUCAGAAGCUUGUGGUUUUUUUGUUACAUCUACUUGCACGAGUAGCUUGCUUGAUCAACCAUGCAAACCCUAAUUAUUGUAGAAAAUGACAUCUUGAUACUUGGUUGACCUGGAACUCGCCCCACUUGUUGCCCUCUUAGAUUCUAAAAGCCUAUAAUUCGACC